AUUGAACGCUGGCGGCAGGCUUAACACAUGCAAGUCGAGCGGGGAAGGGUAGCUUGCUACCUGACCUAGCGGCGGACGGGUGAGUAAUACUUAGGAAUCUGCCUAUUAGUGGGGGACAACGUUUCGAAAGGGACGCUAAUACCGCAUACGCCCUACGGGGGAAAGCAGGGGAUCACUUGUGACCUUGCGCUAAUAGAUGAGCCUAAGUCGGAUUAGCUAGUUGGUGGGGUAAAGGCCUACCAAGGCGACGAUCUGUAGCGGGUCUGAGAGGAUGAUCCGCCACACUGGGACUGAGACACGGCCCAGACUCCUACGGGAGGCAGCAGUGGGGAAUAUUGGACAAUGGGGGGAACCCUGAUCCAGCCAUGCCGCGUGUGUGAAGAAGGCCUUAUGGUUGUAAAGCACUUUAAGCGAGGAGGAGGCUCCUAUAGA
rnacentral:rRNA from 1 species